rnacentral:ribozyme from 1 species
AGAGAGACAGAAAGGAAAGAAGGAAGGUUGGAAGAAGAGGUUUUUCUUUUUCUUUUCAUUUCAUUUUAUCUCUUCUUUUUAAGAGGAAGAAAAACUUUUUCUUCUUUCCUCUUUUUCUU